UACGGGGGGGGCAAGCGUUGUUCGGAAUUACUGGGCGUAAAGGGUGCGCAGGCGGUCUCGUAAGCUGGGUGUGAAAGCCCCGGGCUUAACCUGGGAAUGGCAUUCAGGACUGCGAGGCUUUGAGUGCGGCAGAGGGAGGUGGAAUUCCACGUGUAGCAGUGAAAUGCGUAGAGAUGUGGAGGAACACCGAUGGCGAAGGCAGCCUCCUGGGCCAGCACUGACGCUCAUGCACGAAAGCGUGGGGAGCAAACAGG
rnacentral:rRNA from 1 species